GCGGGUGUAGUUCAACGGCUAGAACUUCAGGCUUCCAUCCUGACGAUAGGGGUUCGAUUCCCCUCACCCGCUCCA
rnacentral:tRNA from 1 species